ensembl:miRNA
UGCAGUUUAAUUCUCUCUUGGUGGUUUAUUGCCUACCAAAAAUACAUACUUCUUUACAUUCCAUAGCAUUGUAUGUUCAUAUGGGUACAUAAAGAAGUAUGUACUCUGAGUAGGUAUUACUAAGUUGUUAGCUGUA